rnacentral:lncRNA from 1 species
UGCUUAGGAGUUGAAACAUGGGAAAGAUUCCCGACAAAGCUAGUCGAGUAUAUUGAAAUCAUUUUACGACGGAAUAAGAUAUGCACUAUAGCUAUUUCAAGAUGCCGGAGGCGUUACAAGGCCAUUUUUAGCGUUUGAGCUUCGUACCCUGACCGAUGUAAUUGCUUGUUUCAAAGACUAUGUUUUGAUUUGGCUAGAUUUAUCCAGGAUAAUAUUGAUAAGAGUAAAUUGUAGCAAUGGUUUCUUAAUUUUAAUCAAAUUAGAGCAAUGAUCAUUCAACUUAAAAUUCAUUACCAUUGGUUCCUCAACUCAUCAAAAUGUGUAGCUAUAAUUAUUUUCGUCAACUUCGUCAGAAUUUUGUCAAAAUGAGUUAUGUUGGAAUGAUCAUUGCUACAAUUGGGGUCUUUCAACUUAUUAAAACGUGUAGCUAUGGUAUUUUUUGUCAACUUCGUCAGAAUUUUGUCAAAAUGAGUUAUGUUGGAAUGAUCGUUUCUACAAUUAGAUCAAAGUUGAGGGAUCAUUGCUCCAUUUAGGUUAAAAUUGAGAGACUAUUUCUCUAGUUGAAUUAAAGUUGAGGGAUCAAUGGUAAUGAAUUUUUAGUUGAGGGACCAUAGCUGCACGUCUUGAUGAGUUGAGGGACCAAUAGUAAUAGAUUUUUAAUUGAGGGACCAUUGCUCAAAUUAAGUUAAAAUUAAGAUAUCGUUGCUACAGUUUACUCUAUUGAUAAACUCGUUCCAUUCUUUGGUUUCACUUUCAUCCUUGGCCUUCAACAUGGAUAGUUUAUGUUAUUACAUGUCUGGUGAUGAUCAUGGAAGAAAAUAUCGAUAAUAUCGGCGAAAUAUCGCCGAUAUUAUUGGUUUUCAGGUAAUGGAUAUUUAAAUAGGUAUCCAAAUGGUUUUCGGCAAAAUAUCGCGAUAUUUUGGAAAUAUCGCGAUAUUUUUUUAACCGUGCUACUCGGAGAAGAACGCCGGAGCUUCUACAGCUUCGGCCGACCACAAACAAGGGUUCUAGACCCUGAUCUAGGUAUCAAACAAAAGCACGAGACAAGAAGAGUGCGUUUAUACCUUCCAUUUGCCGUGAAACGACCCGUGGUGGUCGGAAAACCUCUCGACACCCACGGUCUCGCCGGAGAUGGGUGCGCCUAUUCCCGGGCUGAUUCCGUGCUAAAUCCUUGGUAAAAAGGACAGAAUAACCUCAAUAAUCACAUCCAAGCAACAAACCAACACGGAAAGAGAGGUUCGAGGCUUACCUAACCAUAACCCAUGAAGAACUCACCGGAGGUUCUUGGGGUUUCGUCGAGUUGCGCAGCGACGGGAGAGAGAGAAAGAGAGAGAGAGAGAGACGACGGUGUGUAGAAGGUGAUGACGAUGCCGUCGACGGAGUACCACGAAGGGUGUGUGUGGGUGCUCUCGGGUGUGGGUCAAAGGGUGAAAGAGUGAGGGUCUUCGAGAGAGGGAGAGUGAGUGCAGAGAAGAAAGAAGGAGAAAAAGGUCACGGGGUGGGGAGAGAGAGAGAUACGUGAGGGUGCUAGGGUGCUGCCAUGUGGUAGCUUGAGAGAAUUUGGAAAUCAAGAUGAAUGGUCCAGAUUUGGUUAAGAUAGGGGACUAAAACGAUAAUUUCAUAAUUAUUUGGGGAACCACGAAAAUAUAUAAAAAUUUGGGGUUGGGUUGUUACAGUGUGUCUGUGCGUGUGUGUGUAGAAGUGGGGUGCACUUUGAAGUGUGUGUGUGUGUGUGUGUGUGUUAUCCGAGAGAAGAAAAAAAAAAUUCAAACCUGCUUUCAAAAUAUCCAGGCUAUGUGUCAGUCUGUGUGUGUUAUCUGAGAGAAAAAAAAAUGCAAUAUAUAAAGUGUAAAAUAUUGUACUAAUUCAUUAUAUAUAAUAAUUGUGGUGUCUUUAAACUUUUUUUCAUUAAUUACUACAUAUUUUUUACACUCACAAUGUUUGCCAGCUCGCUAUAUAAUCAAUUUAAAUCAGUUAAAUCCAUCAUGCAAUGCAUUUCCUUCCAAUUUUUUGUGAUAAACUAAUAGAUAAUUGACUAAAUAAACAUCUUGCAAAGUUUCAAUUAAAAUUUCCAAGUUUUUCUUACAAUUUCCGUGGUUUCCAUGUAAUUUUUAUCGAUAUCGAUAUUUUACCGAUAUUUCCAUUGAUAUUUCCGUGUUUUCAGACUACCGAUAUUUCCGAUAUUACCGAUAUUUAAUACCUUGGUGAUGAUAAAAAUCCUUUUCUGUUUGACCUCCAACCGAACCGAUGUAAAUCCAACGCUAAGACGAUACUCAAUUUAUAUUUUACAAAGCUGUUAUAGAAUUAUAGUACUAAAUAACUUUUUUAGAAUGGCAAUUACAUCUUCUUCUUUUUUAAUCUUAAACGACACCAUUUAACAGUUCGUCAUCAAAAACACAUUUAUUGCACGUCAAGAUUAGGGGACAUAUAAUUCUUGUCCUAGGCCUAACCAGUCACCAUCACCAAUCACACCAUCACAUACAUCCAAUUGGAAAAAAAUGUUAAAUCUUUGAGCUUGAUAACGUAAGCACCUUCCCAUCCACUUCCAUCAAAUGCACUUCCCCAAUUUGUACUUGGCUCCCACCCCACAUGAACCACUCGAGACUUGAAUCAAUAUUCUCUGCUUAGGGUUUUGGUAUAAAUAGUCACUCAUUUGAUAUUUCAAAUCUUUCACGUCCCUACUUCAUGUGCAAAAGAUUUGUCGUUGAAAAUAUUUCAUCUCUAACCGCUUUUUCAAUUUAGCAAUCAAGCAAAGUGAGUGGCGUAUUUUAUUUUCUCACCUUCCUCAUUAGUGAAAUGGAAAUGCUUGGAAAUUCUUUGCGUACGGUGCUUGUUUUCUCGUAUAGAAUGAAUUGUCAAAAAUGCAUCAAUGAUAUGUCAAUACGGUUUGUUGGCAACACUGAUAUGACAAAGCAUUAUUCAUUACAAAAACGGGCGUUUGCGUGGGAGCUUGUUUUCUCUUAUAGAACGAAUUGUCAUAAAGGCAUCAAUAACAUGUCAAUACAUUUUGUUGGCAACAAUUAUAUGACAAAGCAUUGUUCAUUACAAAAACAAGUGUUUGCGUGGGGUGCUUGUUUUCUAAUAUAGGAUGAAUUGUCAGAAAUACAUCAAUAACAUGUUAAUAUGCUUUGUUGGAAUCAAUGAUAUAACAAAGCAUUAUUCAUUAGAAAAAGGGGCAUCCGUCCCGUCCCAUCUCACGGAAUAGGGUUCUAGAAUCCCGGCAAAACAGAAAACGUGCAUAAAACCAUGUUUGCAUACGUAUGGUAAGAGUCGAAAAUGCGGACUUAGAGCACAAUGCAGUUGCUGCAGGAAUAACGCGUGGAGCUGAAAUUUCUGACUUAGAACAAACAGUGGCACAUGGGAAGGAAGUGUGAUUGAAGAUGUUGCAACUUCUUUUCCCUUGCCUUGUUCAAUAAACAAAAUGUCCACCUGCUAACCUUGUAGAAAAAUGCGAUAUUAAAAUUAAGCUCAAGUGUAAAAUGGUCAAGGAAAAUGGGUGAGUUUGCUGCUGCUGCUGCUGGUCUUUUUUCUGUAGGGCACUGCCAACCCUUGUUCUGUCCUGGUAGCGGAAUGUGUUUCGGGCCGGAAAAUGUAGUGUGUAAGCCGAUCAGGAAGCAGGAGAGGAUUUGCCGUGCUAAAGCGGUGUUAAAAUCGAAGAAAACGAUGCAGCAGAGGGAGCCUUUAAACUUUUACUUUAGAUAUACAUUUGAUGCUCCUCUCAAUGAGUCCCCUGCAGUACUAUAUUCAUCUCUCUCUCUCUCUCUCUCUCUCUCUCUCUCUUAAACAAAAGAACAAUCCCUCACAGAAGCAAGCUCUUUCAUAACUUGCAGGCUUCAUUUGAUCAAUACUUGGAAGAUGAACACAGGGUUUUUAAAGCGAUUUUUCCGGACACAGCGAAAACCCAAACAAAAGAGGUGCCUAAUGUUCAUUUUCUUGUGCUAAAUAUUAGUAUAAUCUAUAUCCUAAAUUUCUAUGCAAAUUUGAACUUCUUCUCAGUUCUUUGUCAUCCUUUAUCAGUUGGGUGAAAGUUAAUUAAUGACAAAAUCACGAGAAGGAAAAUUUUGUCUUGUAACCGGUUGUGUGUCCCCUUAGAAUGCUACGCAGUCAUGUAAAGAGAGAGAUAUACAUGCGUGAAAGAGAGAUACACAAGGAAAUAUCUGACAAGGAUAGCUCGAUUUUCCCCCGGGAGAAGGGAGGCUUCCCAGUUAACUAGUUUAAGAAUGAAUGUGUUUUUGCAGGAAGAGUGGAGAAUUCACAUGCCGGCCAUGCAAGUCUUGUUCCUGUCUGUCUACCUUGCAUUAUAUGUAAAGUUGAGAUGCAAAUCCAUGGGGAAAGACUACCCUCCUCAUGUUCCUCACCACAUCUCCAAGAUUCUUGAGCUUGACGUUGUAAGCACACCAUAAUCCAUAAUGCGCACAGGCACACACACACAAUCCUCCUUGUAGCCGAGAUCCCGCUCAACUGUAGAUGGAAUGGAUACAAAUUAUUGUUGUUAUCCACUACUGAUAUAUCGUUCAUGUUAUAUCGACAAUAAUACAACUGUUAAUAUGUAAGGAUCCCUCUCAGCUACAAUGGAGCGGGAGCGGGAUCCCAUUUAAUACGGUGACAUUUAUUUUUUCUUUUGUGUAGACUAGAUGGGAAAUCCGAGGCAUUGCUGGGUAUGAUCCAAGUGACAUCAACCUUAGCGUCAAAGGAACCAUAUUUUCAGAUAGACAAGGAACACAAAGCUGGCUCAGAAACAUAUUCGACAUAAACUUAAGCUUCAUCGUACCACCUCUCCUCGCUUGGGUCCCAGACAAUACCAUGCAAAGCAUUACAGAAUCGGUGAGUUCUUCAAAACCCCGCCAUGAUAUGUGUUUGAUGAACUUUAAAGGGCAAGUACAUAUAGUAACCGAAUCAAUGUUUUCAACUGAAAUAGCUCGUGAAGACGGUGAUGGCCAAUCUGAAGUCGAAUGCAAUGUUGCUAGCAGUAGCAGAUUAUGAGAAGUUCAAAAAAGAGAAGCUCAAAACUGCAGUAAAUUCUAAGAAAUUAAGGGGCAGCUAAAAGAGAAGGGAGAAUUUGCUUAUAAAAAUAACAAAAAUUAAAAAAAAUGGAGAUGCAGGGGAUCGAACCCUGUACCUCCCGCAUGCAAAGCGGGCGCUCUACCAUUUGAGCUACAUCCCCUGUUACAACUUUCUUUCUAUUGUAUUGUGAAAACUCAUAUAAUAAAUGUAUCACACACAGAGAUAUCCUAAACUACUAUUCCGAUGAGAAAUAUUAAAGACUUUUUAGCUACAAAACUUCAUGAAAUUGUCAUAAUUUAUCACUUUGGUUUUUGAGAUUUAAUAUCAAUGUAAGUGGUUUAUGACAUUGUCCAUUAUCAAUCUUUUUAGUCAUUUUGUGAAAAAAUCUAUGUUAAAUUGAAGAAACCACCAAUUUAAGUGGAGGGAUUGAUUUGACAAAAAUAUCAAAUUGAGAUUUUUCACGGAAUGAUCAAAAUAAUUGACAGUGGACAAUCUUAGGAACGAAAGCGAGAGAUUAUGCCAAUUUCAGAAACCAUUUUGACUAAAAAACCAAAAUAAAAAACUACUUUAUUCUAUUACGAUAUAAAUUCAGUCACAUGUAUGAUAAUUGUUCUAAUCGGACAAGUUUUAAAUGAACCGACAAAGUAUUGAUUUUCACUCUCCUUUUCUCAUUCUCCUGCAAUCUUUUUUCUUGUGUUUGUCCAUUGAUCCUUCUCAGUCUUUGUAUCAUCUCAUCCAACUUCAUGUAGCUCUCCAUUGUAUUCGGGUGCGACAUAUCUCCUGCACUGAGCUGAUGAACUUGGCCACCAAUAUAAACUGAACUUAUUCCGGGAAGCUUUCGUAAACCCUUAUACCUAAAAUCCUGCCUCAGUAAGUUUGCCUUAUCCUGCUUUCCACCUUAAGCAUUACAUGUUGGAAAGCAGGACGUGAUAAUCUGUGUUGUGGGGUUCCAUUUGAACCAGCUCUUGCAGAAGGCUUUCACCAAGCUCUAGCUUUCCAUGGACUCUGCAAGAACCGAGAAGGGAACCCAAAACCACCUCGUUUGGACGCAUUGGUUGGCAUUUGCUUGAUCAAUACUUCAGCCUCUUCCAAUUACCAGCCCUGCCUAGAAGAUCCACCAUACACGCACAGUGUUCGAUCUGAGGUGUUGCACCAUGUAACGCUUGGAGAUUAUAAAAGUAAUGCCGGCCCUGAUCAAAAAGGCCCGAGUGGCUGCAAGCAGUUAACAAAGCAAUGAAGGUUAAUUCGUCUGGCUUGGCUUCCUCGAGCAUUUGAGGAAACAUAUUCAGAACUAGUUUUCCCCUUCCAUGCAUUGCCAAACCACCGUGCAAAGCAUUCCAUGUCGCUUCGUUCCUUCGGUGCAUUUGCUCAAAAACUUUUAACGCAGUGUCCACUGUACCAAAUUUCGCAUACAUAUCAACCAAUGCUGUGCCAACCAUGAUGUCAAUCUCAUUCUCCAUUGUCUUUAAAGCAUAAGCUUGAACCCAACUGCCCGUCACCCUAUCGCCGGAUUGUGCACAUGCUGAUAAAAAUGAGCAAAGGGUGACAAAAUUCAAGUUCAAGAACACCCGAAAACCUUUUCUCCAAGAAACGAAAAGCUUUCGCAGAUAAGCCCAAUACUUGGAUAUCCAACAAUCAUGAUCGUCCAAGCAACCUCAUUUCUCUCAUUCAUUUGAUCAAACACCACUCUCCCAUUUCCAACACCAUCCAAUUUAACCACACCGUCCAAAAUUGCAGUCCACGACACUACACUCCGCUCCUCCAUCACUUCGAACACCCGUCUUGCCAUACCCAAUUGGCCACAGUUGACCUACAUAUCCAUCGCCGCAUCGCAGGCCUUGAUACCAGAAUCCAAACCCACCUUCACCGUGAAACCAUGUCCUUGCUCCCCAAUUUCAGCAUUGCCCAGCCGAGCACACGCAUUGAACAAGCAAACCAUGCCACGUCGUCCACCAUCACGUCAUCGCUUCGCAUUUCGAUGAACAAACGAAGCCUGGAUUGGAGCAUUCCGUGGUGGCCAAAGCAGCCCAUGAGAACGGUCCAGUCCACGGCGUCUUUGUGCGAGUGGGGAAUUUCAUUGAAACGGCUUGCGUGUAGAGAAUGGACGGGCGUGUGCAGCGUGUGGAAAUGGAGGCGGCAAUUGUGAAGGAAUGAGUCUUCUGAGGCGGCAAGGCCGCCAGUGAUAAUGGCGGCUUGGAGCUUCUUGCCAACGCCGAUGGAGGAUUGGUUCGUGCAUGCUCGGAUGAGAGAACGGAGGUGCUGGUGGGAGUGAUGCCAAGCCAGUGUCUUGGCUUAUUUAAGUUUGAAGUACAAGAUCACGGCGAUCACAUGUUGGAUUUAUCCAAUAUAAAUCAACCUUUAAGUGGUUUACUACAUGUAAUAGGAAUAUAAUAUUGGAGAAUAAUGUUAAUUGUGAUUUGAUCUCUUAAAAUAUCAAUCCUAUAUAAGGUGUCUUAUAUUGGAAUACUUGACUUGGAGGCUAAUAAAGUAAGUUUAGGUUUAUUUUAUGGAUGGAAACCCUAGCUUUUAGCCUAUAUAAAAACACCGGUCCCUAUAAGCCCUAGAACACACAACAUAAUGCUUCCCAUAGAGUAGUUGUAUUCGGCUAGGAGUUUAUAGAAGAUCUUGGUGUUGUUGUGCCCUGCCUGUUUUCGUGUUCGACUUCCAUGGCCGCCGUUGGAAUCAGGUCAGUCACUCAUUCGAUUGUGUUUUAAUUGUAUAAGGCUAACAGUUGGUAUCAGAGCCACUGAUUAUAUAAUUAAAACCUAUUAGGUUUAAUGUUGGAUUAUAUAAUAUUCUCUUGAAUACUCGGCAAGUUUACCAUGUGAUUUGAAUAAGUUCAAUUGUUAAUUAUGAUCAGGUUGCAUAAUUAUUCAGUUUUAAUCAAGAAUAUUUUUCACUAAUAUUAUGGUUGCAGUCAAGGGAAAUUUAUUAAGAACUAUGCUAAUUGAUACCUUGAUUAUUAUCAGCAUGACAAGUUGUCUGAUUAUAGCACGAAUCCAUAAUAUUGUAUGCGGUGUAUUAUAUAUAACCACAUAGCUUUGCUUGCCAAUUGGAAAUUGAACUACGCUUAGAGGUGCUUUUGAUCAAGCAUGAAUUAAAUUAUGGAAUUGAAGCAUAGAAUUUAUAUAAUAUCCUUAUAGUAUUGAAGCAUGAAAUUUAAAAAUCAUAUAGGAAUUGGAAUCCUAUAAUCAUAUAGGAACGUAAAGAAGCAUAUAUGUAAGGCGUGGUAUUAUAUUAUGUAUUUUACAGUGGAAACCAUGGCACUAAGAAGAAUAACAGUUUUGUUCUAUUUCAAUCUUCAUGCUAGUGUUUUGGUUGAAUUGAUUUACCAUGAUCUCAAUUUUUGUAAGCAUUCUAUAUUUGUUCUGACCACACUGAAGAGGUCCCUCCGAUUAGCAAGCAGAACGAAGUCAUCUACCAAAGCAAAAUGGUUUGUUUCAUUGACUUUGAUUUCCAUAAUGGUUUAUGGUAUUUUGGUUGAUAUAUAUUUGGGUUGAUCCCUGAAAGCUUAAAUUGGUAAUAAGAUAAAGCUAUAAUUACAUGAGUGAUGUGCUAAUUAUUGUAGAGUAUGUACAUACAUUGAUUACCAUGUAUCGGUUAAGUAUGUCAUGAAUAUAGAUCCAAUUAUUAUAUAUUUUGGCAAUACGCAUCUCAAUGGGCAUAUGCUUAUUGAAUAAGAACUAAUAUUAUUUUCCAUGAAUUGUAUUCUAUAUGAAUUGCUACGGGUGAUACGUUAUAAUGUGACAAGAAACAAUUGCAUAAGUGCCAGCAAUUGUUGGAUCACGCAAGUAUACAUAAUUUUCUAAAGCCAAUUAUGUAACUACAGUUUGCAUAGCAUGUAUAUGUAUUUACAUUUGUUCUAACCUUGCAUUGGAGAAUUUCUUAAGAUUCCUCAGUCGAACAAGCCCAAUGAAAAGGUUCGUAUUACAUCGGUAUAUGAAAUUCUGGUAUGAUCUUUCCUUUUGGUCUUCAUGAUAAAUUAUAGAGGUAUUCAUCAAUUUCCCCCCUGAACUUGUGACUAUUGGCCAAUUUCCCCCCUCAACUUUAAUUUUGGCCAAUUUCCCCCCUCAACUCUCAUAAUUAAUCAAUUUCCCCCCUCAACUUUAAUUUGGCCAAUUUCCCCCCUCAACUCUCAUAAUUUGUCAAUUUGCACCAUACUGUUAAUUUUUUAAUUUGAUCAUAAUUAAACAAGUGUGUAAGAAACUAAAUAAGAUGUAUGUUAAUCAUUUUCCUAUGUCUUUAUCCUAUUACAAAUAGAUUAAAUUUAGAAUUUUACAAUUUAUCAUAGAUAGUAUUAUUAGUCAUAAUAAAUCAGUAUGAAGUAAUUUUAUUUGAUUUUUUACUAUACAAAAUUGAUAACGAAAAGGAUUGAUGUGUACAUUUUUGUAUGUGAAUACAAUUUUCUUUAUAAAAGUGAAAGCUAAGUUCAAGUAAAUUGUAGAGAAUCGAGCUUUAGUGCAAAAAUGGCUAGUCAAUUCAUAAUUUUCGACUCCUUAUUAAGAAUAACCCAUUUUAUUGAAAUAGGUCUGAUCCAUGAGUUUAGGAUUAUUAUUUCUUCUUCUACAUGCUUUAAACCCGAUUCAUAACUUUUUCUUAUAAUCAACCCAUAUCACAUACUAAUUGUAUUAUGUUUUUAUACAUUUUACCCUAUAUUAUGCAGGUGAGUUUAUGUUCAUUUUAGUACUUUGUUGGAAGUUAUUAGAAAGAUUGAAAGAAAAAAAAAGAAUAGAUGGAAAAUUAAAAAAAUUUAACAGAAGGGGGCAAAUUGACUAAUUAUGAGAGUUGAGGGGGGAAAUUGGCCAAAUUAAAGUUGAGGGGGGAAAUUGAUUAAUUAUGAGAGUUGAGGGGGGAAAUUGGCCAAAAUUAAAGUUGAGGGGGGAAAUUGGCCAAUGUUCACAAGUUUAGGGGGAGAAUUGAUGAAUACCUCUAAAUUAUAUAAGGAAUUGUUAUGUUGGAUUCAUGAAGUGUUAUAUUGUUCCUGCAAAAUCCAACCAUGUCGUGACGUCCUUCUAAUUGUAGGAGACAGAAUUAGUCAUAUCCUAUAAUUUAUCAAUACUAUUGGCAUAUGUUAUGCCUAUGAUUGUAAUAACAUAUAUUACAAUAAUGUUGCAGGGAAGCAUACGCUAAGUUUUAUACAUGUCUGUUAAUGAAUUUGAUAAAAUUCCUAUACAUGAAAGUAAGUCAUACAGAUUUUGGCAACAUUUGUUAAGCAAAUGGCGUGUAUAGUGUUGCUUGUAUGGCUAAUUUGGUUCGAGCAUGAGAUUACGUAUUUUCAAUAUUGUCGUGGGUUUUGGACUAUAGUGACUUGUAGUUUUGUUUCCACUAAUUUUCACAAGAUGAGAAUGAACUUUUAUGCCAUUAUUAGCACAAGAAAUAUGCAUGACUAAUCAAUCAGGUUUGUCUACAAUUUGCUUUCUUAUCUCAAUAGUCAUUUAAAUUAUACAUGACUAGUUAACUAUAAAAAUUGAUGUAUAAUUUGUGGAUUGACUGAGAAUGACAGAAAGCAUCUAGUGACAAGAACAAGAGUAUGAUACAAAUGAAUAAGGUUUGUAGUAAUUAUGUGACAGUUCUCAUUUGUAUUUUUAUUCUUAUAUGAGAAUUUUGGUUGGUCAUGUGAUUAUGUAUAUGUUUACAAAGAAGUGGUGAACAUAUGAAGGUAUGAGGUAUGUAAUCCAUUCAAAAUAUGUGGCUUAAUUGAUAAGCAUGAAUUUUCAAACAUGUAUUAUUGUUUGUGGUUUUUCCUAUGCCUAAAGAAUUUAAACAGUGCUUUGAUUAGUAAUUUUUAUAUGCCAUAAGGGGAGAAGAAAAGAAACUUUUCAAGGUUAAUGUAGGGCAUAUAUUGGAAAUGUUUUCUAUGGAAGAAAAUAAUUUUGGUUGUUCCUUUUAUUUAAUUUGGUAUUUACAAGGCUAAUGCACGAUUUUGAUGCUAAUGUUUUAGGAGCCUUGUACUACGGAAAGAAAGGUACAAAAGAAAAGGAACCUGUUUGACUUAAGAAAACAUUUGAGUGAUUUAGCUUUUAAAUUAAAGGAAUGUAUUGUUCUCUCACAUUACAUAAAGUAUUUCUAAUUGACUCUGUAAUGAUAAAUAUUGACAUUCUUAUGGUGAAAACUUGUUCUAUAUGUGAUUAAUUUUCUUCAAGUAUGCUGUCAGGUUUUUGGGAUUAAUUUAAUAUCAAAGGAAGUCAUGAAGGAAUUAGUGUCAUUUGUUGGCAAGACUCGAAGCUUGAAUCAGGUUAUCCUAUUUUUUGUCACUUAUAGUUAAUUAAUUCAUGUGACUUCUUGUAUUGUUUCAAGGCGGAGUUGACCAAUGCCUUUUCAACUAAGCAAGAUGCAACGGUUUAGUUGACAAUGGGACUAUGUUUUUAAGUUACUUCGGUCAACUUUGCAUCUUAAUUAGAAUAAAAGGGAUAAUCUUCUUGCCUACAGGUGUGUAUUACUUCUUUUAGUUUAAUUCAGAUGGCAUAGUAUGGGUUUUAUUUCACCGAAGUUGUGAAAAUCUUCAUCUUGCCCACAGGUGUUGAAGUUUUUCAUGAAGGUACUUUUGUGACAUAAAAUCUAGUACUAGAAACUAGUUAAUUUUCUUGCCUAUAGGUGUAAAUUAAUUUAGUUUCAUGAAGUUUAUUGGGAUAAAGUUCCAUGCCAUUAGUGACAAAUAUUUCCACAAUGAGCCCCAUAAAAGGUUGUGGGUUGAAGGCAUGGAAAUCGGUUGCAUCAUGACGUAUUUUGUGUCUCUUCAUGAGACUUGUUGAUGCAAAGUAUUGGACCCAUGAAGGUUAAUCAAGGAUUGCUAAGGUACUCAUUGUUUAAAUCUUAUGCUUGUAAAUCUUUUCAAUUUGAACUAUGAUGUCGGCUUAGAGGAUGAAAUUUGACUACUAAAGUUUCCUUUGGACAUUGAAAUUGAAAUGAUAUGCAAUUGAAUUUGUUAUGGAUGCAUAAAUUCAUGAUAGAUGCACAUAAUUGUUUCUGGCAGAUUACGUGUCUUGAUUUAAAUCAGGUAAAUGACACAUCUAAUGGUCACCAAAUGACCUGAAUUUUGGAUAUAUUCAACAUAUAUAUGUCUACUAUAUGUCUGCAAAUUUUCGUAAUUUUUUUCCAUGUAUUUUAAUUAUGGUGAAUUUACUAGUAACCCAUGCUCGUAUAGGCAGUUUUACUGGCCAAUUGUGUUGGUCUUUUUGAAGGAUGACUUUAGACUACUAUUUUGAUCCAAAACGGCUCUAUAUUUUUAUUUUAUGAAGAUUAGUAUGUCUAUUUUGAUAAGUAUAAAUUUGGUAGAAAUCAAGCUUGUAAAUUAAUUAUGAUAAAUUCUAAAGUAAGUGUAACUCAUUGCUGAAAUUUUGUUUGACAACUUUAUGUUGGUUGAGAUGUCUAUUUUAUUAUGUCUAAAAUAUAUAGCAAUUUUCUUCAGGUACAUCUCUGAAAGAAUAUAUUAAUGAGUGUUUGCCCAAGUGGGAGAAUUAGUGAACAAAAAUUGGGCUUCACACUCAUUAACUUAUUUGCAAGUAUAAACUCUGAAAACUUAGUGGGAGUUUUUGAGCAUUAAGCGGAUUUGCAUAAAUUUAUUAAAGCGUUAUUCUAUCUUCCAUGAAUUUUUGUUACUCGAAUAAUAAUAAUAUGUUUAAGUUGUAUGAAUGGCUACUUAGUAUAUGCGUACAUUUUUCUGUUACUUGCAAUCAUUUGGAUUUCUUGGUUGAUCAUUGUUUUGAGGCUCAUAAGGACUUAGCAUAAAUGUGGACUUAUUAAUACAUAGAAGAUGGUUGUUGGAUGCAUGUUUUUGUGUAACAGUGAUGAAUGCUUUCGUGCUUAAUUGUACCUUUCAUUGAGGUAAUAUGCAUUCAUUGACUAAGUAAGGCUAUUCCCAAAGGCAUAUUUUCAAAAAUAUGACUAAAGUAUUGAUUUGCAAAUUAAGUGAUGAUGUUGCAUAUCAGUAGGGGUUUGAGUUUCGUGUUAGUAAUGCCUUACAUUUGCAGAUGACCUAUAAGGUAUGUAUAGAAUCCAUGUAUUCUUUUUAAUCUCCAGUUGGAUUCAUUAAGUCACUUUUUUCGUGUGCUAGUCAAUUAUCUGAUGAAAUAUAUAUCAGAUAUCAAGUUGUUAUCAAAUUGCAUAUUAAAUGGCAUGACAUGGUUUAUGCACUACCUCAGUUGUGAGGAUUUCCAUCUUGCCCGUAGGUGUUGGAAAUCACUAUGAAAGUAACUGGUAUGAUGCAUAGAUCAGUGUCAAAAACAUAUUAAUUCAUCUUGCUCACAAGUGUUGAAUUAAUUUGUUUUAUAAAGUUUUUGGGAUAUUUUACCUGGACAUGUGCCUAUUUGGUAUUUUCAGUUGUGUCCGUUGGCCACAAACAUUGUUUGUAUUAUUACUGAUCUAAUGAAAGUUAUGCAUGAUUGUUUUGGAGAUGUUUCACCACCAGGUUAUGUUGGCUUCAUUAGAUGAAGGAUAUUUGCAUUGGCAGAUUUUAAGAAGAAGAGCACAUAAAGUGUAAUUGGUGUGUUAAGAGUUCACAACAAGGUAGACCUGAGAUGAUUAAUAAAGUAAGACAUUUUGGUUAAUUUAAAAGUUUCAUCUCUUGAUCAUAAUUUGUGUUUCAAUGUGAAUGAGGAUCUUAGCCAUUGUGAUUAUGAAGGUUCUGGGCUGUGUCAACCUACAACCUUGUUAGUUCCAUGUUUGUUAAGAAAUGCAUUUGACAGAAAUUGCAUUAAUCACUUAGAUGUAAAUGUGUUACAUUGUAACUAAUAUGUGACAUGACUUUGCGAGCAUCUGUAUUUAUGAAAGUUGAUCCUUUUUUGUAGACCCAAAAUAAAACCUUUAAGUUCUCCAUUUAGAAUGUACCAUAGAGAAAAAAUGAAUUAAUUGUGAUCUCUAAACUACAUAUCAAUAAUAAGGUAAUAAUAUUAGGGAAUAAUGAAUUUAUUUCCUUAAUAAGUGAUAUCAGACUAAUAUAAAGUAUUUGUUUGGUAAAUUGGAAAUGAUUUGAUGGAUAACCAAGAUAUUAAUAAUUUAGUGUUACUAUUUAGGAAAUAAUAUUGAAGAAUAAGUUAAUGUGGUUUCUUUUAAAGAUAUCAAAUGUAGCUAUAUUAAAUUAUAGAUAAAAUCCUUAAUUGAAUUCUUUGAUAGCUAUAGGCAUAUAAAAUGAUGGUGCGUUCAGAGUUUGUUUAUUCUGUAUGAGCUUUACCUAAGCCAAAUCUAAAAGGGAAAGAAUUAGAACCUACAUGUUUACAUUGUUUCUUGUUUAACUUCCAUAGCCGUUGUUAUAAUCAGGUCCACUCAUUUGAUUUGUGUUUUACAUAUAUCCCAUACUAACGCUGUUCUGGAACACCAUGUGAUUGAAUCAAGAAAUGAAACUAAAUCUUAUGGAAAAAAAAGCCAUAAAUUGAAUUCCUUAGUGUUAUCCAUUCGAUCUGAAGCCACCCAUUGUUUAUAACAAAUUCUUUAUUAGAAAUAAUGCCAUACUGUUUAUAAAAUUUCUUUUUGAAAACUCGACAUGGAUAACAAACAGAUAGUCAAAUCCAGUGACAUCAUAAUUCUGCAUAGGAAUUCCACACACAAGUCAGCAUCAAAAUCACAAUUGUAAGUGUCAUAUUCAUCAGAACAAAGUCAAAAUGAUAGAAUGAGCAAAUUAUUUUUUUUAUUUAUUUUCUAAAAAAAAGCAUUAUUCUAUUUAAGAUAAGUGAUGAGAAUAUAACAUGCAAGUGAAUUAUCAUCAAGUAAAUAGCAUUGCUCUGAAAUUCUUGCGUACGGUGUUUUUUUUUCUAGAACUGUAACGCAAUUUGGAGAAUUAUUGAGCAUUAAAAACACGCUGAUUUGUUGUUAAUUGCAAAGAUUUGUUUAUUCCAACAUCAUUAGACAAUAACCAUAGGUCAUACAAAAUAGGCCGUCUCGUAUAACAAUAAUUGUAACAUUUAAGUUCCUGAAGAAUGAUCAGAUAUGCUCCAUCAUGUUCUGUCUUGAAUAAUCAUUUUGCAUUGGUUGAUCAAUGUAUUGGGAGGAUUAAAACAUUAAAAUGUAAAUGACAUCGUAGUAAGUUGGCAACAUUGAUAUGUCAGUAGAUUAUUUUGUUGAUAUGUAUUAUUGAAAUCGUAAUAAAUUAAUCUAAUAUCUUACUUUGUUCCUAAAAAUAAUAAAAUUUUAUCAUUGACAAAGUAUGCAUUAAUCAUCUUUAUAUUUAGGCAAUCAAAAAGUGAGUUGUAUUUAAUUUAAUUCUCAAACCUUCCUCAGAUGUGAAUAUAUCCUGUAAUAAUCAAUGUAAUGUUUUUUCGUGGCGUAAAACGAUUCUGUGUCCUCAAUAGAAUAAUGAUUAGAAAUUCAGAUUCAACAUACUAUGAAACCAAUCUCCCAUAAUAAAUUAAUGGUGAAGUCAAUAUUUGAUUUGAAAUGGCUUUUCCUCAUGUGAACAUGUAUUUUUAUGAAAUCUUUUUGACAGCGCGCAAGGUUAACAUCACAAUGACAAGAACCGCGAUAACCGUGCCAAUAAGCCACUUGUUCCUGAACAUACUCCUUCCCAUGGAAGUCAGAACUCUCUUGCUUUUCCCUGUGUUGUCAUCCACUCCAUGAAGCUGCAGCAAAAGGAAAAAAACAGUUAGAUAAAUGAAAUGCCAUUCUAGCAAGAUCAUCGCCCUCGCCAAAGCAGUUAUAUCAAUAACUUUCUCUUUUUGAAAAACUUGUUUUCGGUACAGGACCAUGGAUACACAUAGGCACAUGCCGCACAUCACUCUCCUGAGAGACUAACACUAAUAAUAGUGAAAAGAAGAUUGAGUAAAUCAUGUUCAUAAGGUGAUAAUCUCCAGAGUCCAGAUGCACAUCAGCAUAUUGUUGGUCGGUCCUAAUUUUAUUGGAAGAAAUCGUAGAAAUGUAGUAGUAAAAAUAUAAUGAGAGUAGUAUUAUUCUUAUUUUAUUUUAUACAUAUAAGAGCGUUAAAUUUAUAAUAAUAUCUUACUUCUAAAAAUAUAAUGAGAGUAGUAUUAUUCUUAUUUUAGUAAUCAAGCAAAGUGAGUGGCGUAUUUAAUUUAUAUUCUCACCUUCCUCAUAAGUGAAAUAGAAAUGCUCUGAAAUUCUUCGCGUACGGUGUUUGUUUUCUCGUAUAGAACGGAUUGUUAGAAAUACAUUAAUGACAUGUCAAUACGUUUUGUUGGCAACAUUGAUAUGACAAAGCAUUAUUCAUUAUAAAAACAGGCGCUUGCGUAGGGUGCUUGUUUCCUGGUAUAGAACAAAUUGUCAGAAAUGCAUCAAUAACAUGUCAAUACACUUUGUUGGCAACAAUGAUACGACAAAGCAUUAUUCAUUACAAAAACGGGCGUUUGCGUAAGGUGCUUGUUUUCUCGUAUAGAACGGAUUGUCACAAAUGCAUCAAUAACAUGUCAGCGCUUUGUUGGCAACAAUGAUAUGACAAAUUUUUAUUCAUUACAAAAACGGGCGUUUGUGUAGGGUGCUUGUUUUCUCGUAUAGAACGGAUUGUCACAAAUGCAUCAAUAACAUGUCAAUACCCUUUGUUAUCCACAAUGAUAUGACAAAGCAUUAUUCCUUAGAAAAACAGGCGUCUGCCCCAUCUCACAGAUUAGGGUUCUAGAAUGCCAGCAAAACAAAAGCGUGCUUAAAACCAUGUUUGCGUAUGGCUUUGGUUUCCACCCAUGUAUCCCGGGUUUGAAACUCCCUUGUCCCCCAAAUUGUUGUUGUAGUUUUGAACCCUCUCCCUCCCCUUAAUAAUAAUAAUUUAAAAGAGAAAAUUAAUAUUUGAAUGAAAUCUUGCUGUGAUACUCUCUUGACUCUUUAGACUUUUCGGUUUCCCUAUGUCUUUCUUGUACAAGUUAGAGUUCCAUACUUUCUAAUGAAACGUUUUAUAACUUAUCUGAUUGAAACUUGAUUGUGUUACGAUUGAUGAUUUUUUUUUCUUUUACUUCAAGAGGUCGCACUUGGUGCGAUGGCAAGUGCCUUCGCCCAUAAGCGGUAGGUCUCGGGUUCGAGACUUGGGAGCAGCCUCUCCAUAAAUGGGGGUAAGGUUAGCCGACAUUCACCUCUCCCAGACCCUGCGUAAAGCGGGAGCCUUGUGCACUGGGUACGACCUUUUUACUUCAAAAACCAACCCUGUUUUCUUGAAUUGUUGCAGAUGUGUAAUCACUGGAAAUGGUGGGACUUCAUAUGCAUAUCUGGGACGACCGUGGGGACCUUUUGGAAGAGUCGUUUUUGCAUAUACAUUUAUGGAUGGAUGCAUCAGACAUGUAGGAUGGAAUAAUUGGGGUAAAACAGAGAAUGAACGAAGUGCUUGCUUUUAUGAAUACAGGUAUGCAUACUUUAGUCCAUCUGCAUAGUACUUCUAUUCUACAGCGACUGCGUUCGGUGGAACGUUGUCUUAUCAAACCAAACUAUGGACAUGGACUACAAUAACUUCGGAGAAACGUGGUGUCUUAUCAAACCAAACUAGUUUGUUUUUAGAUGGUUCAUGUGGGGUACCUAAAAGUAAAAUUAAACAGAGCUGAGAACGGAAAGAUGUUUACUUUAAUUGGGUUCACCAUGCCUUUUUUUUUCGGAAGAAUAUUCCCUCUCAAGCUUGUGGCUUUGUUUACCUGCUCUUGCGCGUAACAACUUCUUGAAGUAGUGAUUGUUGUUUUGAAAUUUAAAGUUUCUUUCGAGUUCGUGAGUAGAGGCAGAGUUUGACAAGCUUGCAUCGUUGAAUGAAAAUUGCAGGUGUUUUGGACCGGGCAGUUGCCCAUCGAAACGGGUGACAUGGGCUAGAGAACUGGUAGACGAGGAAGCAGACCAGUUCCUCCAGCAUCGUUUCAUCGACCCAGAUCCAGGAAGGCCUUGGCUUGCCCAGAGAAUGGCCCUAAGAAUACCAUAUUCUGCCUAGGAGUGAAAACAUGGGAAAGAUUCCUCAUAAAGUUAGUCGAGUAUACUGAAAUCAUUUUACGACGAAAGAAUAAGAUAUGCACUAUAUUUCAAGAUGCCCGAGGCGUUACAAGGCCAUUUUUAGCGUUUGAGCUUCGUAACCCGGCCGAUGUAAUUGCUUGUUUCAAAGACUUUAUGUUUUGAUUUGGCUAGAUUUAUCCAGGAUAAUAUAGAUAGGGAUGGGCAAAUACCCAUGGGUUAUGGGUAAUCGUUUACAUAAAUAAACGGUUAUGGGUAUAACCGUUUACCCGUGAAAUUUAAAUAAGCGGUUAUGAGUAUUAGCCACGGUUAUAAACGAGUACCCAUUUAACCAUUUAUUUUAAUAUAUGUAAAACAAAAAAAAAAUUAGUUUCUAGCUAAGUUUAGUAUCCC